rnacentral:tRNA from 1 species
AAAGGGAGACCUAAUUCCGGUAGGAGACGAAAAAAAAGUAGUCCCUACCAAGAAUCAAUCCCAAAAGGUCGGAACGAGGUAUGAGGCUUUCAAACUAGGUUCUGGGUUCAUAAAAGACCUGAAUCAGGAACAAGGGCUAUUAGCUCAGGUGGUUAGAGCGCACCCCUGAUAAGGGUGAGGUCCCUGGUUCGAGUCCAGGAUGGCCCACCUGCACAGGUGGCAAAAACAAAAGAAGCGAGGAAUCAGCACCUUAUCUUAUAUACAUAUAUAAGAGAGAAUGCUGGCUCUGAGUACAGAGUCCAGAGGAACCUUGAAAACUGCAUAGAGCUAGGUGAAAAAGCCAAAAAAGAAGACCGCAAG